rnacentral:tRNA from 1 species
GCCAGUAUGGCACAGUGGUUUGAACGUUGGACUAUGACUGAGGAGACCAGGGUUUGAUUCCCAGUUUGGCCA